rnacentral:rRNA from 1 species
GACGAACGCUGGCGGCGUGCCUAAUACAUGCAAGUAGAACGCUGAAGGAGGAGCUUGCUCUUCUGGAUGAGUUGCGAACGGGUGAGUAACGCGUAGGUAACCUGCCUGGUAGCGGGGGAUAACUAUUGGAAACGAUAGCUAAUACCGCAUAAGAGUAGAUGUUGCAUGACAUUUACUUAAAAGGUGCAAUUGCAUCACUACCAGAUGGACCUGCGUUGUAUUAGCUAGUUGGUGGGGUAACGGCUUACCAAGGCGACGAUACAUAGCCGACCUGAGAGGGUGAUCGGCCACACUGGGACUGAGACACGGCCCAGACUCCUACGGGAGGCAGCAGUAGGGAAUCUUCGGCAAUGGACGGAAGUCUGACCGAGCAACGCCGCGUGAGUGCAGAAGGUUUUCGGAUCGUAAAGCUCUGUUGUAAGAGAAGAACGAGUGUGAGAGUGGAAAGUUCACACUGUGACGGUAUCUUACCAGAAAGGGACGGCUAACUACGUG